GACAGAGGGUGCGAGCGUUAAUCGGAAUGACUGGGCGUAAAGGGCGUGUAGGUGGUUCGUUAGGUUUGGUGUGAAAGCCCCCGGCUCAACCGGGGAAGUGCGCCAAAUACCGGCAAGCUAGAGUGAAAGAGAGGGCUACGGAAUUUCCGGUGUAGCGGUGAAAUGCGUAGAGAUCGGAAGGAACACCAGUGGCGAAGGCGGUAGCCUGGCUUUUAACUGACACUGAGGCGACGAAGGCGUGGGGAGCAAACAGG
rnacentral:rRNA from 1 species